AGUCUGUGAUGUGGGCGUUUUCGCAUCAUCUCCUUGAAUCGCUCUCAUGCUUCGAAAAACUAUUCUCCAUCCAUAUGCCUAAAGCAGGCGAUUCGGUUUCUAUGGUG